UUUUUUUUUUUGGUGGUGUUGAUGGGCGGAGAGGGUGGUGGUGGUGGUGUUGACUGUUUUUUGACCGUGGGUUGCAAGGUUUGCUUUUGACUGUUUGGUGUGUGAGACAAAAAUAUUGUGGGUUUUUUUGUUUCUGUUUUGGUUUGGGUGUUGGGGGAAAUUCUUGAUAUAAACGAAAAUUUGUGUGAAUUAAUGUGAAAGUUGAUUGAUUUAGAUUUGAGGGAAUGAA